GAAUUCGCCCUUGUUUGAUCAUGGCUCAGGAUGAACGCUGGCGGCGUGCUUAACACAUGCAAGUCGAACGGGAAUUACUUUAUUGAAACUUCGGUCGAUAUGAUUUAAUUCUAGUGGCGGACGGGUGAGUAACGCGUGGGUAACCUGCCUUAUACAGGGGGAUAACAGUCAGAAAUGACUGCUAAUACCGCAUAAGCGCACAGAGCUGCAUGGCUCGGUGUGAAAAACUCCGGUGGUAUAAGAUGGACCCGCGUUGGAUUAGCUAGUUGGUGAGGUAACGGCCCACCAAGGCGACGAUCCAUAGCCGGCCUGAGAGGGUGAACGGCCACAUUGGGACUGAGACACGGCCCAGACUCCUACGGGAGGCAGCAGUGGGGAAUAUUGCACAAUGGGGGAAACCCUGAUGCAGCGACGCCGCGUGAAGGAAGAAGUAUCUCGGUAUGUAAACUUCUAUCAGCAGGGAAGAAAAUGACGGUACCUGACUAAGAAGCCCCGGCUAACUACGUGCCAGCAGCCGCGGUAAUACGUAGGGGGCAAGCGUUAUCCGGAUUUACUGGGUGUAAAGGGAGCGUAGACGGAUGGACAAGUCUGAUGUGAAAGGCUGGGGCUCAACCCCGGGACUGCAUUGGAAACUGCCCG
rnacentral:rRNA from 1 species